AUUGAACGCUGGCGGCAGGCUUAACACAUGCAAGUCGAGCGGGGUGAGGUGCUUCGGUACUGAUCCUAGCGGCGGACGGGUGAGUAAUGCUUAGGAAUCUGCCUAUUAGUGGGGGACAACAUUCCGAAAGGAAUGCUAAUACCGCAUACGUCCUACGGGAGAAAGCAGGGGAUCUUCGGACCUUGCGCUAAUAGAUGAGCCUAAGUCGGAUUAGCUAGUUGGUGGGGUAAAGGCCUACCAAGGCGACGAUCUGGAGCGGGUCUGAGAGGAUGAACCGCCACACUGGGACUGAGACACGGCCCAGACUCCUACGGGAGGCAGCAGUGGGGAAUAUUGGACAAUGGGCGGAAGCCUGAUCCAGCCAUGCCGCGUGUGUGAAGAAGGCCUUUUGGUUGUAAAGCACUUUAAGCGAGGAGGAGGCUACCUGGAUUAAUACUCUAGGAUAGUGGACGUUACUCGCAGAAUAAGCACCGGCUAACUCUGUGCCAGCCGCCGCCGUAACAC
rnacentral:rRNA from 1 species